rnacentral:rRNA from 1 species
UACGGAAGGCAGCAGUGGGGAAUAUUGCACAAUGGGCGAAAGCCUGAUGCAGCUAUGCCGCGUGUAUGAAGAAGGCCUUAGGGUUGUAAAGUACUUUCAUCGGGGAGGAAAAAACAAAACUAAUAAUUUUAUUUCUUGACGUUACCCGAAAAAGAAGCACCGGCUAACUCCGUGCCAGCAGCCGCGGUAAUACGGAGGGUGCUAGCGUUAAUCAGAAUUACUGGGCGUAAAGAGCACGUAGGUGGUUUUUUUUAAGUCAGAUGUGAAAUCCCUGGGCUUAACCUAGGAACUGCAUUUUGAAACUGAAAUACUAGAGUAUCGUAGAGGGAGGCAGAAUUCUAGGUGUAGCGGUGAAAUGCGUAGAUAUCUGGAGGAAUACCUGUGGCGAAAGCGGCCUCCUAAACGAAUACUGACACUGAGGUGCGAAAGCGUGGGGAGCAAACAGGGAUUAGAUACC